UAUAUAUAGGCGCUCUGUCUACACAAAUGUAGCGUUCUCAUUCAGCUGAUUACCCCAAUACUUCACCACGCUUCGGGGUAUUUGUUGGGUUUUGGCAACAGUGAACCAAGCAGUAACACCUAUCAUUUUCCUCUCGAUUGCUCGCUGCGUCGUCCUCAGUUGAAGUUGAGCCCUAUUUGUAAGCCUCCAGGUUUCUGCUCCGUAGGUAAGUACUGAAUUCACACAGGACAACGACCAUGACGAAGACGGCAUUUUUGGUAAUAAUCCUCGUCUUCUGCAUUUUUGGUACUGAUAUCCAGGUUUCCGGCAAAGGUGAACAAGAGAAAAAUCAGGAAAUGGAAACCUGUUACGAACCUACGUGCUGCGAUAAAUAUAAUUGUUCGGUACAUUGGUGCCCUAAGAACUGCAGAUGUCCUAAUUGGUUGAUUCGACAAACUGGAAACCAUGGAUGCUACUGGGUUUGAUACCGCCUUGUUCCUCAAUUUCAGCACAAGAGUUCUGCAAUAAAUGCUUUGGAGGUACUUGUUGGCUUGGA